UCCCAUUUCUCUUCCUUCACCUACUGCCAUGAUUAUAAGACCUCUCCAGCCAGUUGGAACUCUUCUUCCUUUAGAUCAACCCCCAUGAACAGCUUUGAAAAGAAUAAAAGGAUAUUCCAUCUUCCUGGAACAGUCUUGCAAAUGGAGAACCUGCUCACUAGGAGAAAAGUCCUGUCAGUCCCAUGGUUCUCUUCUCCCCGAAGAACAAUUGGUUCCUUCCUUCAGAGGAAGAUGUGUUAUCCCCACCAGUGGUGGUGAGCGCCUGGAUUCCAAAAGGGUUGAGAAUUUGGAGAUGUGACCUCCCUCAUUCUGAAGAGCCUUGGUCCAGCAGGUGCAUGAAGCAAUUAAUUGCUCCACAAACCCUGAGAAUUUAUCACUGACCAGAGUAACGCUGAGGAGCCAUCCUCUUUUCUGCUUGAUUGUCUUCACUCUGGGCAUUCUGGAAGGUGGGUUUCCUGGCCAGAUGUUUCUCAUCCACACCUGUGGAUCUCAGGAAACCAAGGGUGACAUCCAAAGGCAGGGCCUUGAUUUCCUUUCCACCAAUGCCUGUGAGAUGUGGAAACUGAACGAACAUCCACAUCAGGACCAUACACUCAAAUAAACAUGUUGGGGCAGGGAAACUCCAUUACAUCAUGGUGAGGUAAAGAUGCCGAAGCCCCCACCCCAAAUCAUUCCAUGGUAGAGGCAUCAUUUUACUCUGUCUCCUUCCUGCACUCAUUGAACUCUGUGAAGGGAGGGGUCAGCAUAGCAAGGAGCUUGCUCUGCCCCAGAGGAGAGGGCCGAACAUUCAACGACACAGGAAGGCAGUUACUCUGCCUACCUUUUAAAACCCUUUCCUCCUGGGGAACUGGUUUACUCUGUACUCUUAAACAGAUUAUAUCCAUUUAUUCACUCCUUCUAUAAAUAUUUGAGAAAAACCUACUAUAUGCCAAGCACUUUUCUAGGCAGAGAAAAUGCAGUAACCCUUUCUUCCCAUAGCUUCCAACCUGGUGGGGAAUAAAGGAAUUAAAUAAGCAAUUACAA